UUCGUCCGCCCAGGGUUAGUCGGUCCUAAGGCGAGAUCGAAAGAUGUAGUCGAUGGACAAACGGUUAAUAUUCCGUUACUACCUCAUCGGAGUUAUGGAGUGACGCAAGAGGCUAGAGCAGCUGUUGAUUGAAAGUAACAGUCUAAGGUUGUAGAAUGGUUGAUCAGGUAAAUCCGGUCGAUUAAAUUUGAGAACUGAUGGGUCCUGGAUUUUUUAAUGAAGGGAAUUGCUUAAUGCCAUGUUGACGAGAAAAGCUUCUAUACAUUGAUGAUAGGUAACCGUACUAAAACCGACACAGGUAUGCGAGGCGAGAAG
rnacentral:rRNA from 1 species